rnacentral:rRNA from 1 species
CUAGCGACAGGCUUAACACAUGCAAGUCGAGGGGCAGCGGGGCCGCCGGCGACCGGCGCACGGGUGAGUAACACGUAUGAAACCUGCCCGUAGCAGGGGAUAAGCGGAAGAAAUUCCGUCUAAGGAUGGUCAUGCGGCGCAUUAGCUAGUUGGCGGGGCAACGGCCCACCAAGGCGACGAUGCGUAGGGGUUCUGAGAGGAAGGUCCCCACACUGGUACUGAGACACGGACCAGACUCCUACGGAGGCAGCAGUGAGAAUAUUGGUCAAUGGGCGAGAGCCUGAACCAGCCAAGUCGCGUGAGGGAUGACGGCCCUACGGGUUGUAAACCUCUUUGCCGGGGAGCAAAAGCCGGGACGCGUCCCGCWGCGAGUACCCGGAAAAAAGCAUCGGCUAACUCCGUGCCAGCAGCCGCGGUAAUACGGAGGAUGCGAGCGUUAUCCGGAUUUAUUGGGUUUAAAGGGUGCGCAGGCGGAAUGUCAAGUCAGCGGUAAAAUUGAGGGGCUCAACCYUCUUCCCGCCGUUGAAACUGGCUUUCUUGAGUGGGCGAGAAGUAUGCGGAAUGCGUGGUGUAGCGGUGAAAUGCAUAGAUAUCACGCAGAACUCCGAUUGCGAAGGCAGCAUACCGGCGCCCAACUGACGCUCAUGCACGAAAGCGUGGGUAUCGAACAGGAUUAGAUACCCUGGUAGUCCACGCAGUAAACGAUGAAUACUAACUGUCCGCGAUGGUCUGGGUGGCACAGCGAAAGCGUUAAGUAUUCCACCUGGGGAGUACGCCGGCAACGGUGAAACUCAAAGGAAUUGACGGGGCCCGCACAAGCGGAGGAACAUGUGGUUUAAUUCGAUGAUACGCGAGGAACCUUACCCGGGCUCAAACGACGGAUGAAUACUUUKAGGUAGUCCUUCGGGACAUCCGUCGAGGUGCUGCAUGGUUGUCGUCAGCUCGUGCCGUGAGGUGUCGGCUUAAGUGCCAUAACGAGCGCAACCCCAUCGMCAGUUGCCAACAGGUAAAGCUGGGAACUCUGKCGAGACUGCCGGCGCAAGCUGUGAGGAAGGCGGGAUGACGUCAAAUCAGCACGGCCCUUACGUCCGGGGCGACACACGUGUUACAAUGGCAGGUACAGCGGGAAGCCACCUGGCGACAGGGCGCGGAACCCGAAACCUGUCUCAGGUUCGRUUGGAGUCUGCAACCCGACUCCAUGAAGCUGGAUUCGCUAGUAAUCGCGCAUCAGCCACGGCGCGGUGAAUACGUUCCCGGCCUUGUACACACCGCCCGUCAAGCCAUGGAAGCCGGGGUGCCUGAAGUGYGCAACCGCAGGAGCGCCCUAAGGUAAAACCGGUGACUGGGGCUAAGUCGUAACAAGGUAGCCGUACCGGAAGGUGCGGCUGGAACACCUCUUAGCUCAGUUGGUUAGAGCGCUACACUGAUAAUGUAGAGGUCGGCAGUUCAACUCUGCCAGGGACUACAAAGAAAAAAGGGCACAUGAAGGAUGCCUUGGCUCUCGGAGGCGAAGAAGGACGUGACAAGCUGCGAUAAGCCGCGGGAAACAUCUCAGUACCCGGRAAGAGAAAAAAAAACAAUGAUUGCGCAAGUAGUGGCGAGCGAACGCGGAGGGCCCCAAACCGGCSGCGUUUCGGCGCACCGGGGYUGUAGACCGAGCCGAAKCYUCUGGAAAGGAGGGUGACAGCCCUGUAGGCGAAACCUGAGUAAGCUGGACACGAGAAAUCUGGCCGAAUCCGCGGGGACCAUCCGUAAGGCUAAAUACUACCGGAGACCGAUAGCGAACCAGUACCGUGAGGAAAGGUGAAAAGAACCUCGAACAGAGGAGUGAAAAGACCCUGAAAUCAUGUGCCUACAAGCGGUCGGAGCCGUGACGGCGUGCUUUGCAUAAUGAACCUACGAGUCACCGGCACCGGCGAGGCUAAGUGUUCGGAGCCGAAGCGAAUCUGAACAGGGCGCUUAGUCAGCGGCGGAAGACGCGAAACCAAGUGAUCUACCUUGGGCAGGUUGAAGAGGGYAACACCCACUGGAGGACCGAACCGGUAAGCGUUGAAAAGCUUUCGGAUGACCUGAGGGUAGGAGUGAAAGGCCAAUCAAACUUGGAGAUAGCUCGUACUCCCGAAAUGCAUUUAGGUGCAGCCUCGGGGGAAAUGCGGGGGAGAGGGCGCGGGUGCUAAGGUCCGCGUCCGAGAGAGGCUAAGGCCCCAAAACGGGCUAAGUUGAAAUAACGAGGUGGGAUUGCAAGGACAGCUAGGAUGUUGGCUUGGAAGCAGCCAUUCAUUUAAAGAGUGCGUAACAGCUCACUAGUCGAGUGAUCCCGCAUGGAUAAUAAUCGGGCAUAAGUCCGCUGCCGAAGCCGUGGAAUCSURUGGAUUGGUAGGGAGCAUUCCGCAAGCCGCAGAAGGUAUGGCGCGAGCGUGCUGGAGGUCCCGGAAGAGUAACGAUAGGGGGGGGRAAACCCCCCGCCGCAAGACCAAGGGUUCCUGAUCAACGCUAAUCGGAUCAGGGGAGUGAUGUGGAGACGGAGAAGUGACACCCCGCGCACUGACGGAAUAGUGCGUUAAACCGCGUAGCUAGAGGGCGGGCAGKMAAAUCCRCCCUCAGUGCUGAAACGCGACAGUACGCCGAGCCCCGGCAAGCGGAUAGCGGUGGUAAACGCCCGUACCGCAAACCGACACAGGUGGUCGGGUAGAACAUACCAAGGCGCUCGAGAGAUUCACGGUUAGGAACUAGGCAAAUUGACCCGUAACUUCGGGAGGGUCCCCCAGGGGGGGCGCAGAGAAUAGGUCCAGGCAACUGUUUAACAAAACACAGGGCUGUGCAAAGUUGAAAGAUGAAGAAUACAGCCUGACACCUGCCCGGUGCCGGAAGGUUAAGAGGAGAUGUCAUCGCAAGAGAAGCAUUGAAUUGAAGCCCCGGUAAACGGCGCCGUAACUAUAACGGUCCUAAGGUAGCGAAAUUCCUUGUCGGGUAAGUUCCGACCUGCACGAAUGGUGUAAUGAUCCGGACACUGUCUCAACCGUGAGCUCGGUGAAAUUGUAGUAUCGGUGAAGAUGCCGAUUACCCGCAACGGGACGAAAAAACCCGUGAACCUUUACUGCAGCUUAGCACUGUGACCGGGUGUGCGAUGUAGGAUAGUCAGGAGGUACGCCAGUCAUCGUGGAGCCGACGUUGAAAUACUGACCUUCGCACAUUUGGUCUCUAACUGGAGACACCGUUGGYGGUAGUUUGACUGGGGCGGU